rnacentral:misc_RNA from 1 species
AUUUUUUUAGAUAAUUUUUAAAGUAAAAAAAAAAUAUUCCCAUGAAUAUGUGAAGAAUUGGAGUAUGAAUAAGAUUGUUUAUGGUGCGGGGUCCCACACCAUAAGAUAUUGCGACCGAAAAAUAGAGCAGUGCGAUGACAGGUGUCCAACAGCAUUUGCCCCCUCUACUGACAAGGGGAGAGAGAAAGAGUCGGUCACGCACCUUGCAUGGAUUCAUAUAUUGUCGUCCAACCAUGAUUAGCUACGUGUACUUCGCUCACAGUAUGAGUCUAUGAAAUGUCCACCGUUAAUAUUACACUGCUUCGCAGGUUCAUUUUUUCCGUGAACUCUGAUUCUCCGACUGAAGACGUGGCAAUCCUGUGGUUAAUCAAGUGCAGGUGAGGAAAGUGGGGCCUAGCGUGGAGGGAGAUCUAGUGUUUGAGACAUUAUAUAUGUGGGACCACCUGAAUUGUAAAAUGAAAUAGAGUGGGACCUACUGCACUCCUUAUAUUCCUGAAUCCUGCUCGUGAUGCCCCAGUGCGGCUUAUAGUACGUUAAAUGAUAAGAGGAGCAAUUUGAUGUUGAGGUG